GGGGAAUCUUCCGCAAUGGACGAAAGUCUGACGGAGCAACGCCGCGUGAGUGAUGACGGCCUUCGGGUUGUAAAGCUCUGUUAAUCGGGACGAAAGGCCUUCUUGCGAACAGUUAGAAGGAUUGACGGUACCGGAAUAGAAAGCCACGGCUAACUACGUGCCAGCAGCCGCGGUAAUACGUAGGUGGCAAGCGUUGUCCGGAAUUAUUGGGCGUAAAGCUCGCGCAGGCGGAUCAGUCAGUCUGUCUUAAAAGUUCGGGGCUUAACCCCGUGAUGGGAUGGAAACUGCUGAUCUAGAGUAUCGGAGAGGAAAGUGGAAUUCCUAGUAUAGCGGUGAAAUGCGUAGAUAUUAGGAAGAACACCAGUGGCGAAGGCGACUUUCUGGACGAAAACUGACGCUGAGGCGCGAAAGCCAGGGGAGCGAACGGGAUUAGAUACCCCGGUAGUCCUGGCCGUAAACGAUGGGUACUAGGUGUAGGAGGUAUCGACCCCUUCUGUGCCGGAGUUAACGCAAUAAGUACCCCGCCUGGGGAGUACGACCGCAAGGUUG
rnacentral:rRNA from 1 species